rnacentral:tRNA from 1 species
GCCCUCGUAGCUUAGCAGGUAGAGCGCGCGGCUGUUAACCGCGAGGUCGGCAGUUCGAGUCUGCCCGAGGGCG